GCAUCGAUGAAGAACGCAGCCAGUUGCGAUAAGUAGUGUGAAUUGCAGAAUUCAGUGAAUCAUCGAAUCUUUGAACGCAAAUUGCGCUUUCCGGAUAUCCGGGGAGCAUGCCUGUCUGAGCGUCGUUUAAUAAUCUACACACCUCGGUGUGGGUAGGGAGUUCAUGUGACCUGUCCUUCAGGACACCUGUCUCUCGAUGUGUCUGAACCUUGCUCGUACUUGCUUAUGUACUUGCUUGGAAGGCUCAACUUGCUUCUGUCCUUCUGAUGCAGUCAUCGCGUUGCGCACUUGCACAGUUCUCGUUCGACUGUUCAGUCGAAAAUCUUCUAUUUUGACCUCAGAUCAGACAAGACUACCCGCUGAAUUUAAGCAUAUCAAUAAGCGGAGG
rnacentral:rRNA from 1 species